CUGGAAGAAACGACAAGCGACUACAAAAUUAAGAUCAUGGUGGCUAUGGGAGAUAACAGUUAACGAAGGUGUAAAAAAUCUUAUGUCAAAGUAUAAAUAAUUAUUUCAUUUACUA